CUCACCUGAGACAUACUCACUGAGGGUUGUAUGAGAAGAAAGAACACCAUCUGGUAAGUCCCAGAAGCUACCAGAGAGUUCAGUGCUUCAAGUAUUUCUUCAUAUCUCAUCAGUAUGAUCCAGAUAUGUGGGUAGUGUCAGCUCCAGCCAAGGACUGUGGGUGAGAAUCAAUUAUAGAACUGCUGGGACAGAAGAAAGGUAUGAGCAUCAGUGAUAGACCAGAUCAAAGUAGUGGUUCGUUUGAGAUCAAAGAAUCAGCUACAUCUAAGCAAGAAAUAAAGAUGGGUCAGAGGCGGCAUUUGGAACUAGCUUGACAAAAACUAAGAACUUAGGUCAGCAGGCCAACAGCAUUGAGAUUUAUAGAUGUAGGUAAAGUUAAAACUUGUAUUUAGAUUUUCUUAGUUGAAUCAUCUUUUUAAA